AUUGAACGCUGGCGGCAGGCCUAACACAUGCAAGUCGAGCGGAGCGGCGGACGGGUGAGUGAUUCAUAGGAGUGAGCCUGGUAGUUGGGGGUCGCGUCCGGCAACGGACGCUAAUACAUCCUACUAGCAGUUGAACCUAGGUCGAAGUGGCUAGUUGGUGGGGUAAAGGCCUACCAAGGCGACGAUCCGUCACUGGUCUGAGAGGAUGAUCAGUCACACUGGAACUGAGACACGGUCCAGACUCCUACGGGAGGCAGCAGUGGGGAAUAUUGGACAAUGGGCGAAAGCCUGAUGCAGCCAUGCCGCGUGUGUGAAGAAGGUCUUCGGAUUGUAAAGCACUUUAAGCUGGGAGGCGUUACCAACAGAAGAAGCACCGGCUAACUUCGUGCCAGCCGCCGCGGUAAUUC
rnacentral:rRNA from 1 species